GACGAACGCUGGCGGCGUGCUUAACACAUGCAAGUCGAACGGAAAGGCCCUGCUUUUGUGGGGUGCUCGAGUGGCGAACGGGUGAGUAACACGGGAGUAACCUGCCCUUGACUUUGGGAUAACUUCAGGAAACUGGGGCUAAUACCGGAUAGGAGCUCCUGCUGCAUGGUGGGGGGUGGAAAGUUUCGGCGGUUGGGGAUGGACUCGCGGCUUAUCAGCUUGUUGGUGGGGUAGUGGCUUACCAAGGCUUGGACGGGUAGCCGGCCUGAGAGGGUGACGGGCCACAUUGGGACUGAGAUACGGCACAGACUACUACGGGAGGCAGCAGUGGGGAAUAUUGCACAAUGGGCGGAAGCCUGAUGCAGUAACGCCGCGUGCGGGAUGACGGCCUUCGGGUUGUAAACCGCUUUCGCCUGUGACGAAGCGUGAGUGACGGUAAUGGGUAAAGAAGCACCGGCUAACUACGUG
rnacentral:rRNA from 1 species